UACCUUGUUAAAUAGCCACACUCAUUGCAGUUGCACACCAUGGAAGAAACCCUAAUGCAAACACAGCCGCAUACUGUUUCAUCUACUAAGUGAUUUGAUUGCUAUUACACGGGGUCAAUGCAGAUACAGCUAUGCAUUGAGGUUGUAGUAGGUGCCUGUCGAAGUAGCGGUUACUUCCGGUUAAGAUCUAGCAUCUCAUAGUUGUGUGUGUGUUUUGGUUAGAUCAUGGUUGAUUACUUUCUUUAGGUUAUAGAUUAUGCAUGAUUUGUUUAUCUGCAUGAACUUGACACUAGAAGCUGAUUCAUUUCACAAAAAUAUAUGUUAAGUUUGCAAACGAAAACAUAAUAAAGAUUUUGGUUGUUUUAAUGUUUUGUUUGGAUAAGCUUGAUUGGCUUUGAAUGGUUUUGCUUGUUGAACUGACUUUAUGGCAAGGUUGCCUGUUCAUCUUCGCACAAUUGACUUAAGAAUGUUUUUAUCUGAUAAACUAUAGAGUCGUUAUGUUCUAUUGAAAUUUUCUUUCGGGUUAACUCCACUUUCGAGUUAUUUUGUAAAGAAAUUUCAAUGGAAGAUAAUGACUCUACAAUUUAUUACAUAAAAAAAAUUGAUGUUAAUUGUGCAAUCAUGAAUGUAUAACCUAACUAUAAAGUGAAGGGGAAAAUCCUUCAAAAUCGACGAAGUUUAUCCAAAUAAAACAUUAGUAACAAAAAUCUUUGUUAUUCUUUUGUUUGUCAUUUUCUAGAGUCGAGGAACAAAUUCCAGCUCUUAAGUGUUUUUAUGCGAUAAACUAUAGAGUCGUUAUGUUCUAUUGAAAUUUCCUUUCAGGUUAACUCGACUCACGAGUUAUUUUGUAAGGAAAUUUCAAUGGAAAAUAACGACUCUACCGUUUAUUACAUAAGAAACAAUUAAUGUUAAUUGUGCAAUCAUGAAUGUAAAACCCAACUAUAAAGUGAGGGCAAAAUCCUUCAAAACGGACCAAGUUUAUCCAAAUAAAACUAGUAACAAAAAUCUCUGGUAUUCUUUUGUUUGUCAUUUUCUGGAGUCGAGGAACAAAUUCCAGUUCUUAAGUGUUUUUAUGCGAUAAACUAUAGAGUCGUUAUGUUCUAUU